UACGUAGGGGGCUAGCGUUGUCCGGAUUUAUUGGCGUAAAGAGCGUGUAGGCGGCCAGGUAGGUCUGCUGUGAAAACUUGAGGCUUAACCUCGAGAUGUCGGCGGAAACCAUCUGGCUAGAGUCCGGAAGAGGAGAGUGGAAUUCCUGGUGUAGCGGUGAAAUGCGCAGAUAUCAGGAAGAACACCCGUGGCGAAGGCGGCUCUCUGGAACGCAACUGACGCUGAGACGC
rnacentral:rRNA from 1 species